ACAAUAGUGAGAGAAUCUGCUGGUCUUUAUUCACUGGUAGGGGCUUUCAGUGUCCCUGUUAGUGCCCAGAUCAGAAACAUGG